AGUACUGACAAAGGAGAAAAUGGAUAAUUGGCUGUAUGUUUGUGUAGAAAGUGAGACGAAGUAUCCCUGCACGCGAUGUAUUGAAUUCUACUUUCAUCAAUAUUGCAGUGAACUGAUUCACUCACCAAAAUAAAUUUCAUCCGUGUACAGAACGUCUUGUUGUAUUAAAAAGUUAUGGCUUUACCAGGGCCCAGGGUGGUCUCAUGUUAUUGAGAAUUCUUAGCAAAGUCUUUGUUAUCAACUUACUAUUUGAGCGAUGGAACGAAGCUCUGUUUAUACCGAAGUAUUUGUUUUCCAAUAUAACCUCCAAGUAGCAGCCGAUAUAUGAAACAACAUCUGUCGGCUACGUAUGGGAUACUUUGCAAUUAUGUAAGUUUGCCAUGUGAGUGAUGUCAAGUGAAAAAAUGAGCCCGCAGCCCCAAACAUCCAAAAGAAAAGGACAGAAUAAAUGACAGCUUUUGAUGGUUUUACCUCGAACAAUUUACCCAAUCCAACAAUCAUGAAUUGAGACAAAGAUGCAGUGAAAUCAGCUAUAGAUAAGCUUAAGAUGGUAAUCCACGGUCCUCGUCUUACCUUGUUUAAAGGAUCCUUCACAAUAACAACAAUAAGAAGACCAUUUGUAAGGACACCAACUGUGGAGAUCACCAUUGUUGUUAUUAAUACUUCUUGAGGAAGUGAGAAACUUUUCUUCGGUUUCAUAUUAAAUACAUAAAUAUAUACUUAUUAAAUUUUUGUAAUUACAUACAAUAGAAUUUUUGUUUAUAAACUUACAUCACUUUGAUUACGAAAA